UCCUACGGGAGGCAGCAGUAGGGAAUCUUCCGCAAUGGGCGAAAGCCUGACGGAGCAACGCCGCGUGAGUGAUGAAGGUCUUCGGAUCGUAAAACUCUGUUAUUAGGGAAGAACAAACGUGUAAGUAACUGUGCACGUCUUGACGGUACCUAAUCAGAAAGCCACGGCUAACUACGUGCCAGCAGCCGCGGUAAUACGUAGGUGGCAAGCGUUAUCCGGAAUUAUUGGGCGUAAAGCGCGCGUAGGCGGUUUUUUAAGUCUGAUGUGAAAGCCCACGGCUCAACCGUGGAGGGUCAUUGGAAACUGGAAAACUUGAGUGCAGAAGAGGAAAGUGGAAUUCCAUGUGUAGCGGUGAAAUGCGCAGAGAUAUGGAGGAACACCAGUGGCGAAGGCGACUUUCUGGUCUGUAACUGACGCUGAUGUGCGAAAGCGUGGGGAUCAAACAGGAUUAGAUACCCUGGUAGUCCACGCCGUAAACGAUGAGUGCUAAGUGUUAGGGGGUUUCCGCCCCUUAGUGCUGCAGCUAACGCAUUAAGCACUCCGCCUGGGGAGUACGACCGCAAGGUUGAAACUCAAAGGAAUUGACGGGGACCCGCACAAGCGGUGGAGCAUGUGGUUUAAUUGGAAGCAACGCGAAGAACCUUACCAAAUCUUGACAUCCUUUGACCCU
rnacentral:rRNA from 1 species